GGCGGAUUCUGAAAGUCCGGAAGAAGGAUCACCUGGUGUGUUGCUUCCAGCUGCAGACAGACACGGAGCACGCUCGCGGAUUGUUUCAGGGGAGCGCCACACCGGCAUUUUGGAGAACCCCGACAAUUCCCAGCUGAAGACCCCUGCAUCUGUUUUGGAAAUGAAUGAAACCUCUCCUAAAAAAAUGCAGCAGAAAUCAGGUAAUGUUCACGGCAUGUAGU